UAGGGAAUCUUCGGCAAUGGGGGGAACCCUGAACGAGCAACGCCGCGUGAGUGAAGAAGGUUUUCGGAUCGUAAAGCUCUGUUGUUAAGGAAGAACGAGUGUGAGAAUGGAAAGUUCAUACUGUGACGGUACUUAACCAGAAAGGGACGGCUAACUACGUGCCAGCAGCCGCGGUAAUACGUAGGUCCCGAGCGUUGUCCGGAUUUAUUGGGCGUAAAGCGAGCGCAGGCGGGUAGAUAAGUCAGAAGUUAAAGGUAGUGGCUCAACCAUUGUAGGAUUUAGAAACUGUUUAACUUGAGUGCAGAAAGAGAGAGUGGAAUUACAUGUGUAGCGGUGAAAUGCGUAGAUAUAUGGAGGAACACCGGUGGCGAAAGCGGCUAUCUGGUCUGUAACUGACGCUGAGGCUCGAAAGCGUGGGGAGCGAACAGG
rnacentral:rRNA from 1 species